rnacentral:misc_RNA from 1 species
GCUUGGCAAGUCCGAAAUCAGCAACCUUAGCCUCAAAAUUAAAGUCGACAAGUAUAUUAGCUGCCUUAAUAUCACGAUGAAUGAUUUUCGGUUGGCAGUCUUCAUGCAGAUAUGCCAGUCCUUUAGCUGACCCUAGAGCAAUCUUUAGUCGUAUUGGCCAAUCCAAUGGAGGCCUUCCCUUUCCAUGUAAAUGGAAUUCCAAAGUAUUGUUUGGAACAAACUCAUACACAAGCAUCUCGUGUCUCUUGUCGGAUACUGCAUUACAGGG